CCCUAAACGUCUGUGGGAGAUUAUGGUCAGGCGUCGACAAGCGGUUCGGGGUUCCGUCCCCACGCCUCUGCUCGGUGGCGGCUCUCGGGCUCCAUUCGUUGGCAGCUCGCUUGACCAGGAAUGAAGGAGGGUUGUUCGGGGGAGAAAGUACUCCGUCGUGAGAGGUGAAAUUCUUAGACCGACGGAAGACUAACUACAGCGAAGGCAUUCUCCAAGGAUACCUUCCUCAAUCAAGAACCAAAGUG
rnacentral:rRNA from 1 species